rnacentral:ncRNA from 1 species
AAAAAAGCUAUGAAGAGGAUUAUUACAUUUAUAUCUGAAUUCAGAGAGCUGCUGGUUGGUGAGAAGCAGUUGAAAGAAUAGAUGGAACUGGCCUCGGAGCGGCUGGCCCAAAUUCUGACAGACAGGUUCAGAAGAGUAGACGCAGACGGAACCCAACCGUUAUCUAGGGUAGAUAUAUCGUUUUGUAUAUGAGUAUACAAAGCCUGUAUCUGAUAAGUGUAUGAAGUAACAUUCAUAAAUAAGAGUGGUACCGCGUAGGACUUGAUAAAUAGCAGUCUUUCGUCUCUUGC